GGUUAAGCGACUAAGCGUACACGGUGGAUGCCCUGGCAGUCAGAGGCGAUGAAGGACGUGCUAAUCUGCGAUAAGCGCCGGUAAGGUGAUAUGAACCGUUAUAACCGGCGAUUUCCGAAUGGGGAAACCCAGUGUGACUCGUCACACUAUCAUUAACUGAAUCCAUAGGUUAAUGAGGCGAACCGGGGGAACUGAAACAUCUAAGUACCCCGAGGAAAAGAAAUCAACCGAGAUUCCCCCAGUAGCGGCGAGCGAACGGGGAGGAGCCCAGAGCCUGAAUCAGCAUGUGUGUUAGUGGAAGCGUCUGGAAAGGCGCGCGAUACAGGGUGACAGCCCCGUACACAAAAGCGCAUGUGCUGUGAGCUCGAUGAGUAGGGCGGGACACGUGGUAUCCUGUCUGAAUAUGGGGGGACCAUCCUCCAAGGCUAAAUACUCCUGACUGACCGAUAGUGAACCAGUACCGUGAGGGAAAGGCGAAAAGAACCCCGGCGAGGGGAGUGAAAAAGAACCUGAAACCGUGUACGUACAAGCAGUGGGAGCACCCUUUUGGGUGUGACUGCGUACCUUUUGUAUAAUGGGUCAGCGACUUAUAUUCUGUAGCAAGGUUAACCGAAUAGGGGAGCCGGAGGGAAACCGAGUCUUAACCGGGCGUUAAGUUGCAGGGUAUAGACCCGAAACCCGGUGAUCUAGCCAUGGGCAGGUUGAAGGUUGGGUAACACUAACUGGAGGACCGAACCGACUAAUGUUGAAAAAUUAGCGGAUGACCUGUGGCUGGGGGUGAAAGGCCAAUCAAACCGGGAGAUAGCUGGUUCUCCCCGAAAGCUAUUUAGGUAGCGCCUCGUGAAUUCAUCUCCGGGGGUAGAGCACUGUUUCGGCUAGGGGGCCAUCCCGGCUUACCAACCCGAUGCAAACUGCGAAUACCGGAGAAUGUUAUCACGGGAGACACACGGCGGGUGCUAACGUCCGUCGUGAAGAGGGAAACAACCCAGACCGCCAGCUAAGGUCCCAAAGUCAUGGUUAAGUGGGAAACGAUGUGGGAAGGCCCAGACAGCCAGGAUGUUGGCUUAGAAGCAGCCAUCAUUUAAAGAAAGCGUAAUAGCUCACUGGUCGAGUCGGCCUGCGCGGAAGAUGUAACGGGGCUAAACCAUGCACCGAAGCUGCGGCAGCGACGCUUAUGCGUUGUUGGGUAGGGGAGCGUUCUGUAAGCCUGUGAAGGUGUGUCGUGAGGCAUGCUGGAGGUAUCAGAAGUGCGAAUGCUGACAUAAGUAACGAUAAAGCGGGUGAAAAGCCCGCUCGCCGGAAGACCAAGGGUUCCUGUCCAACGUUAAUCGGGGCAGGGUGAGUCGACCCCUAAGGCGAGGCCGAAAGGCGUAGUCGAUGGGAAACGGGUUAAUAUUCCCGUACUUGGUGUUACUGCGAAGGGGGGACGGAGAAGGCUAUGUUGGCCGGGCGACGGUUGUCCCGGUUUAAGCGUGUAGGCUGGUUUUCCAGGCAAAUCCGGAAAAUCAAGGCUGAGGCGUGAUGACGAGGCACUACGGUGCUGAAGCAACAAAUGCCCUGCUUCCAGGAAAAGCCUCUAAGCAUCAGGUAACAUCAAAUCGUACCCCAAACCGACACAGGUGGUCAGGUAGAGAAUACCAAGGCGCUUGAGAGAACUCGGGUGAAGGAACUAGGCAAAAUGGUGCCGUAACUUCGGGAGAAGGCACGCUGACACGUAGGUGAAGUGAUUUACUCAUGGAGCUGAAGUCAGUCGAAGAUACCAGCUGGCUGCAACUGUUUAUUAAAAACACAGCACUGUGCAAACACGAAAGUGGACGUAUACGGUGUGACGCCUGCCCGGUGCCGGAAGGUUAAUUGAUGGGGUCAGCGCAAGCGAAGCUCCUGAUCGAAGCCCCGGUAAACGGCGGCCGUAACUAUAACGGUCCUAAGGUAGCGAAAUUCCUUGUCGGGUAAGUUCCGACCUGCACGAAUGGCGUAAUGAUGGCCAGGCUGUCUCCACCCGAGACUCAGUGAAAUUGAACUCGCUGUGAAGAUGCAGUGUACCCGCGGCAAGACGGAAAGACCCCGUGAACCUUUACUAUAGCUUGACACUGAACAUUGAGCCUUGAUGUGUAGGAUAGGUGGGAGGCUUUGAAGUGUGG
rnacentral:rRNA from 1 species